rnacentral:rRNA from 1 species
AUUGAACGCUGGCGGCAGGCUUAACACAUGCAAGUCGAGCGGAGCGUCGGACGGGAGAGUAAUGCCUAGGAAUCUGCCUGGUAGUUGGGGAUAACGUCCUGAAACGGGCGCUUAUACCUUUUACUAUCUGCUUAGCCUUGGCCGGUUUAACUAGUUGGUGGGGUAAAGGCCUAGCAAGGCGACCAGCCGUAACUGGUAUGAGAGGAUGAUCAGUCAGCCUGGAAGUGAGACACGGUACAGACUCCUACGGGAGGCAGCAGUGGGGAAUAUUGGACAAUGGGCGAAGACCUGAUCCAGCCAUGCCGCGUGUGUGAAGAAGGUCUUCGGAUUGUAAAGCACUUUAAGUUGGGAGGCGUUACCAACAGAAUAAGCACCGGCUAACUUCGUGCCAGCCGCCGCGGUAAUAC